CAUUUAGAGGUUAUAGCCUUAUGUAAAGAUCCAGAGGUGACGGGUUUGCCACCACCUUCCUUUUGAGGUGCUAAAAUCUUCCAAAAGAGAGAAUGAUUGAUGUGACCACCGCCAUUGAAUUUAAUAGCAGCUUGAAGGGCAACCUCUCCCUCCAAAUCGAGGUUGGGAUCGGCCAGCUUCUCCUGAGCGGCAUUCAAGUUGUUAACAUAUGUUUGGUGAUGCUUGUCAUGAUGUAACUUCAUAAUCGUUUCCGACAAAGCAGGUUCAAGUGCCUAAAGCUAUAGUUAGUAAUCAUCAUUAACAAAUUAACUAGACAGUGGGAAACAUCCAAAACUUAUGAUUGCUUCAGAACCCAUCAACAUGAGCAAUUGCUUUUACAACUAUUUAUUGCAUACAUUGUAAGCAUAAGGUAAAGGGGGAAGAGUAGCCUUAGUAUGAACUCCCCUGGCAAUUGAGACGUUCCUAAUAGCGGCUACAGAGUUCUUAGACAAAAAGCGAAGCAUCGUUAAAAUGAGAUCAAAAGUAAAAAAGUAAUAGCAACCAAAGUGACCAACGAACAAAGUAAACCGAAAUGUUUUCUUUGUUAAAUACCUUAACUUAUAACUAAAUUGUACGGUUUGAUUGAACAAAUCGUAUAUGGUAGAGGGAAAGUAUGGAGUAGGGUGAAAGGAGCCUAUAUAAAUUCUCGAAAUUACGUCUGGCCUAUGAAAUGUCUGGAGAAAGUCAUUUCCGAAAUAUUACACCAAAAAUGUGGUAAACAACAAAUUGUGCAACUUGUUAAUGAACCAUUAAGAACUAGUUUUAUAGAGUAGAAUGUGAAGUUCAACGUAUCUUCAUUUCACCAACUUCUCAAAAUUCUCUGCAUUCAUUUAGCAAUCUUCAUUACUCUAGGUUACUAGAUUAUAGCAAUGUAAUAAUAUUUACUACGACAUUAUUAUCAAGCAAAAAAUUUUGGAAGGUUUUGUUAAGUGCAAGCAAUUAAUGGUACUUGAACUUAUAGAAAUGACAACUCAACAAAUGUUACUGAAGUUUAAAAGGGCAACUUCUUUACAUUGAAUUGUUAGAAAUGAUUUUACAAUACCGAAUCAAGAAUUCGGCGAGUGCAACUAGUAGUGUGAUUAGUACAUUGUAAAUAUUUUAUUUUUUCAAAUUGACUUCUGAUGCGAUUGAGUAUUGAUGCAAUUGAAAAAUCCGUCCUGCAACAAAUUACCCUUAUAAGCACACAAUGAAAAAAGAAACAGCGGCUCUACUAGUUAAAGGGUAUCGAAAUCAGAGUUGAAGGAAUUGCCUUUGCAAAAUAGAUAAGUAGUGCAGCGAAGCGGUAAUAACGAGGAAGUAACUCGGCAAAUAUUUGU